rnacentral:rRNA from 1 species
AUUGAACGCUGGCGGCAGGCCUCACACAUGCAAGUCGAACGAGUGGCGGACGGGUGAGUAAUGUCUGGGACACUGCCCGAUGGAGGGGGAUAACUACUGGAAACGGUAGCUACUACCGCAUACCCUCGGUUGUGCCCUGAUGGGUUUAGCUAGUAGGUGGGGUAACGGCUCACCUAGGCGACGCUCCCUAGCUGGUCUUAGAGGAUGACGAGCCACCCUGGAACUGAGACACGGUCCAGAUUCCUACGGGAGGCAGCAGUGGGGAAUAUUGCACAAUGGGGGCAAGCCUGAUGCAGCCAUGCCGCGUGUAUGAAGAAGGCCUUCGGGUUGUAAAGUAAUUUCAGCGAGGAGGCGUUACUCGCAGAAGAAGCACCGGCUAACUCCGUGCCAGCAGCCGCGGUAAUAC